rnacentral:rRNA from 1 species
UACGGGGGGGGCAAGCGUUGUUCGGAAUUACUGGGCGUAAAGGGCUGGUAGGCGGCCAACUAAGUCGGAUGUGAAAUCCCCAGGCUUAACCUGGGAACUGCAUCCGAUACUGGUUGGCUUGAAUCCGGGAGAGGGAUGCAGAAUUCCAGGUGUAGCGGUGAAAUGCGUAGAUAUCUGGAGGAAUACCGGUGGCGAAGGCGGCAUCCUGGACCGGCAUUGACGCUGAACAGCGAAAGCUAGGGGAGCAAACCGGG